rnacentral:sRNA from 1 species
AAAUAGCCCUGAUUGAAGUGAAAAGACCGGAGUGAGGUACGAAUGAGGACUUGUAGCGGAAAGCAGGACUGAGG